rnacentral:rRNA from 1 species
CAGCAGCCGCGGGAAAACGUAGGUGGCAAGCGUUGUCCGGAAUUAUUGGGCGUAAAGCGCGCGCAGGUGGUUUAAUAAGUCUGAUGUGAAAGCCCCGGCUCAACCGGGGAGGGUCAUUGGAAACUGGGAAACUUGAGUGCAGAAGAGGAGAGUGGAAUUCCACGUGUAGCGGUGAAAUGCGUAGAGAUGUGGAGGAACACCAGUGGCGAAGGCGACUCCCUGGUCUGUAACUGACGCUGAGGAGCGAAAGCGUGGGGAGCGAACAGGAUUAGAUACCCCAGUAGUCCCUGUCUCUUAUACA